rnacentral:rRNA from 1 species
GGAGUUAGCCGGUGCUUCUUCUGUGAGUGAUGUCCUUCCUGCCGGCUAUUAACCCGCAGGCCUUCUUCCUCACUGAAAGUGCUUUACAACCCGAAGGCCUUCUUCACACACGCGGCAUGGCUGGAUCAGGGUUGCCCCCAUUGUCCAAUAUUCCCCACUGCUGCCUCCCGUAGGAGUCUGGGCCGUGUCUCAGUCCCAGUGUGGCUGAUCAUCCUCUCAGACCAGCUACGGAUCGUCGCCUUGGUGAGCCGUUACCUCACCAACCAGCUAAUCCGACAUAGGCUCAUCCGAUAGCGCGAGGCCCGAAGGUCCCCCGCUUUCCCCCGUAGGGCGUAUGCGGUAUUAGCCUGGGUUUCCCCAGGUUAUCCCCCACUACCGGGCAGAUUCCUAUGCAUUACUCACCCGUCCGCCGCUCGCCACCAGGGAGCAAGCUCCCCGUGCUGCCGCUCGACUUGCAUGUGUUAGGCCUGCCGCCAGCGUUCAAUCUGAGCCAUANACAACUACUCACACGAGACGGCGGCGCGACGACGC